rnacentral:rRNA from 1 species
UCCUGGCCGNGCACGGGGANCCNANCCANUNCUNNUNUGNNNCAGGGCUGGAANGNANGGCUUACCGNGGNAUUGACUGUCUCAUCUUAUUUGUUUUAGAAUUUAAUUUUUUAGUUAAAAAGCUUAAAUUUUAUUGGUAGACGAGAAGACCCUAUAGAUCUUUAUAUAUAAUUGUGUAACUAUUUUUAUAUUAGUAUUUUUAUUCAAUUAUAUAUUUUGUUGGGGUGACAAAAACAAUAAAUAACUUUUUUAUUUAUAAAACAUUGAUUUAUGAUUAUUAGAUCCAUUAUUAUUGAUUGUUAGAUUAAGUUACCUUAGGGAUAACAGCGUAAUCCCCUUCCAGAGUUCACAUUUACGAGGGGGUUUGCGACCUCGAUGUUGGAUUAAGAUAAUAGUUAGGUGUAGCCGCUUAAUAUAUAGGUCUGUUCGACCUUUAAAUUCUUACAUGAUCUGAG